AACCCAUGGUGUGGGCACCUUCUGAGUAAGUCCUUUUAUCUCUCCCAUGCAUGAUAAAGUGUUUCUAAAUCCAUCUGCACAAAAGAAGAGAUAUCAUUACGCAAUUU
rnacentral:snoRNA from 1 species